GCCUAGCUGGUUCAGUUGGUAGAGCAUGUGACUCUUGAUCUCGGGAUCAUGAGUUCAAACCCUAUGUUGGGCA
rnacentral:tRNA from 1 species